rnacentral:lncRNA from 1 species
CUCCCCCCCCAAGUGGGCUCAGGGCCCCAUCCCCUCCCUAUUCAGCCUGCUGGGGCCACCCACAGGGGACAGAGCCCCGGGGCUGUCAUCCUCAUCUUGGGGCUCUCCUCUUCUGUUCCAGCCUCAGGGAACCCAGGCCAGGCUUGGGCCUGUGGGCACCCACUGCAGGACUUAGGCACCAGCAGUGUGGGGGGCUGUGGACAGUGUCAGCCCGGGGGCCACCUGGGAGUUGUGAGGACCCCUGGGCCCCCACUGGGGACACAGCCUGCUGGAGACACUAACCCAGUCUGCCUCUUUCCAGCGGGACCUGACGAGUUCCCCAGGAGGGCCCUGGGCCUAGAGCAAGUGUUCCCAGUGCCUGGGCCUCUCCUCCCUUCUCCGGCCUCUGAGACACCCCCCAGGGUGGAGGAGCCGGCCUCCCCGGGCCCAGCCACCCAGCCUGAGCCGCCGGGACCCCCUCCGGGCCAGGCCAUCCUCAAGGCCGAGGAGCCGCUGCAGGAGGAAAGAUCCUCAGAGCCCACGGCUGCACACCUGUGUCCGGGAACACUGGGGGCUCCGCUUCUGGCCCAGCUGCCCCCAGCCCAGGACCCCUCGUUGGCCCGGCUGCCCCCCCAGCGAUGGAACUCCCUCCUCAUCCUCCCAGUGCAACAAGACAGUGCAGGCAGGCGGCCCCCAGACGUGGGCUUGAAGCCAGAACACGGGGUCCCCUUCCCUUCAGUGCCUGCCAGGGCCACACAACAGACCAGGCCCUGGAGCCCCCCCGGGACUCCCAUCACAGUGUCCUCCCAGCCCACUAAGGAUGACGCUGUUGGGCCCAGGACACCCUUCCUGCCCCGCGGCCACUGCAGCUCAAGCCCCUCACAGGGCAGUGAUGGGCACAGCCAGGGCAGAGCCAGGGCGGCGCUGAGCCCGCUGCCCCGAGGCCCUGCACAGGCUGGGGACCCUCUGCCCUCUGUGCCCACGGGGCAGCUCGAUGCUCGCAGGCCUCGGGGGCAGAGCGUGACAGUGAGUGCAGGGUCCCGGAGGCUCUGGCCCGCCGUCACCGUGCCCUGCCUCAUCUCGCGAGCCUCUCACAGCCAGAUGUGGCCUCCUGGGCCCUAG